ensembl:lncRNA
AAGGCUUCGUGGCAGUCAUCCCUUUCGGCACACUAGUGGCCAUCUUCGCUUUGUGGUUUGGCAUCUCCGUAGGCAGAGGCAUGCAGAUCCAUGAACAUUCCAUCUUCAUCCAGCCCAUGCCUGGUAUUGUCAAGGGGGGCAUCAUGCCCUUUGGCUGCAUCUUCCUCCAGCAAAUUUUUUUUAUCCUCAACAACAUCUGGUCAUCUUAGGUUUUAUUACAUACAGUCGGGAGGAACUAUUGGAUAUAAUAGCAAUGUCAACUCACCAACAUUACGACCAGGACUUUCCCGAAGCGGAUCCUCUGUUUGGCCUACUACCCAGGACAAUGGAUCGGAUCCCAGCCGGCGACCCAAAACAAAGAUGCCGUAGAAGGGGCAGACAGAGCAGUCUUCUGGUCAGGCUCCAUAGACUGGCACAUCGCGCACCGCUCCCGAGCACACUACUCGCCAAUGUCCAGUCUCUUGACAACAAGGUAGACGAAAUCCGAGCAUGGGUAGCAUUCCAGAGAGACAUGAGGGUACCUCCGUGAGGGUACCUCAGGAGGCUGAAGAAAUUUGGCUUGUCACCAAAAACACUCACAAACUUUUACAGAUGCACAAUCGAGAGCAUCCUGUUGGGCUGUAUCACAGCCUGGUAUGGCAGCUGCUCCGCCCAUAACCGGAAGGCACUCCAGAGGGUAGUGAGGUCUGCACAACGCAUCACCGGGUGCAAACUACCUGCCCUCCAGGACACCUAAACACCCGAUGUCACAGGAAGGCCAAAAAGAUCAUCAAGGACAACAACCACCUGAGCCACUGCCUGUUCACCC